rnacentral:rRNA from 1 species
UACGUAGGGUGCGAGCGUUAAUCGGAAUUACUGGGCGUAAAGUGUGCGCAGGCGGCCGCGCAAGUCGCGUGUGAAAGCCCCGGGCUUAACUUGGGAAUUGCGCUCGAAACUACGUGGCUGGAGUGUGGCAGAGGAAGGUGGAAUUCCACGUGUAGCGGUGAAAUGUGUAGAGAUGUGGAGGAACACCAAUGGCGAAGGCAGCCUUCUGGGCCAACACUGACGCUCAUGCACGAAAGCGUGGGGAGCAAACAGG